AAACAUGGUAUUUUGGUAAUUAAUAUAAUAUCAGGCCUGCCCACUGAUUAUUUUUAAGGGCCGCAGUAUACUGACUGUGCAAAGGUAGCAUAAUCAUUAGGUUUUUAAUUAGAAUCUGGAAUGAAUGGUUAGACGUAAGGGAGACUGUCUGAGUAUAAUUAGUUGAAGUUGACUUUCAAGUUAAAAGGCUUGAAUUAGAAUGUAGGACGAGAAGACCCUAUAGAACUUAAUAGCUUGUGGUUCUUUUAGUUAUGGUAAUAUGACUGAUUUAGUUACUGCCUAUUUCGCUGGGGUGGUGUUGAGAAAAUAGUAACUCUUUAAUUGGUUUAAUAAUAGUAAUUAGAUAGUUGAAUCAUGCUUUGUGAUUAGUAGAUAAAGUUACCUUAGGGAUAACAGCGUAAUCUAUCUGGAGAGUACUUAUUGAUAGAUAGGAUUGCGACCUCGAUGUUGAAUUAAGAAUUCCUUAUGAUGCAGAAGUUGUUAGGGAUAGUCUGUUCGACUAUUAAAUUCUUACGUGAUCUGAG
rnacentral:rRNA from 1 species